UGAAUUUUACACUCUUUUAAAAGUACUGAAGAUAGGCCCCGUCAUGGGGUCUUUAAUUCCAGAACUCAGGAGAGAGAGGCCUCUGUAAAUUCAAGACCAGCUAGCGGGGGUUUACAAUGUGAGUCUAGCACAGCUGGGGCUAUUACACAGAGAAACCCUGUCUCAAAAAAACAAAAAAGUACUACAAUUUAAUCUCUUGAGGGACAGGCUUCCGAGGCCCCACCUUUUCCUGAAGACAGAAAGUAGUCAACGGUUUCUGCAGAGGGAGAGCCAUUUCUUCAGUGCCUGAUCUGGCACCUGGGCCUUUGAGAAGAGCAGAGAUGGCCUUGAUAUUAAAGUGAAACAGUAGGUGCCAACAACUAACCCAGACCCAGAAGAAAAGAGGAAGCUGAUUAAACUAUACAGCUUUGGGGAGGGACUGUACUAACUCUUGGAGUAGAUCCAGCAGAAAGAGCCUCCAGGAACUGUUAUGAGAAGGCUGUAGACUAUGUCUCCUAGAAACAGAUGUUUUACCACCUCGCUGUGGGAUUGUUCAUAAAAUAUAAUUGUCUGCUCUGACUUUGUGGAUGAUGAACUAUCAACUCCCCCCCCCCAAAAUAAAAUAAAAUAAAAUAAAAUAAAAUAAAAUAAAAUAAAAUAAAA